UACGUAGGUGGCAAGCGUUGUUCGGAAUUAUUGGGCGUAAAGAGCUCGUAGGCGGCUUGUUGCGUCGACCGUGAAAACCCGUGGCUCAACUGCGGGCUUGCGGUCGAUACGGGCGGGCUAGAGUUCGGUAGGGGAGACUGGAAUUCCUGGUGUAGCGGUGAAAUGCGCAGAUAUCAGGAGGAACACCGGUGGCGAAGGCGGGUCUCUGGGCCGAUACUGACGCUGAGGAGCGAAAGCGUGGGGAGCGAACAGG
rnacentral:rRNA from 1 species